rnacentral:misc_RNA from 1 species
CUGUGGUCUGAUACACAGUGUUCCGACAGCAUCCCUAAUAGACAGACAUGGCGGGUACCGGGAUAACAGUGGCGCUGAUCGCAGUGUUGAUUCAGAUUAUCUACGCCUCCAAACUGAUGAACGUCGAUAGUCACCAACUUGCCGACAAGGAAGGUCAGGCAUCUAAGCUCAAUUUUGUAGAGGCGAUGAGUAAAGUCCUAAAGGCUAGGGAUACCAAGGAGAAGAAUCUCAGACAAGCGAAAGAAAAAACCCUGAAAAGAAACAGCGUUCCCUAUGAGUACCUUGGCGGUUGUUACGAUAACAAUGAAAAUUGCGAGUAUUGGGCGUCCACCGGCGAGUGUAACAGCAACCCGGCGUACAUGCAUAGUACAUGCCAGUAUUCAUGCGGAACGUGCUGUUCCGACAGUAACGACCAAUGCGGAUACUGGGCUUCCACUGGGGAGUGUUACAUAAACCCGGAUUAUAUGGAUAUCAACUGUGCGAUGUCCUGCGGUUAUUGUUAUGGAGGUAUUCACUACAAACGUGACGUCACUAAGAACUUCGGUAACAGCCCACCCGGCACCAGAGAUGACUCGCGCGAACAACUCAGGACUGAUGAUAAAAUGAAACGGGCGUACGAGCUCGGGAAAUUUAUCAAGAGAGCUCUAACAUGGCCACAUUCACAAGGAAACAAUGGGUCACCUGGCACACAUGAAACUGGAUAAAAAUAGAUCAAUAUAGAAAGGACGAGUAACGAUCCACAUGUUGACGGGAGCACCAAACAUUUAUAUGUGUGUACCUUUCUUGGAGGUGUAUGGUAAAAACGUUAAAGUUAGAGAACAAAAGGAACACAAGCAGAGAAGCGACACGAGCACGGAACUAACCUUUGUAGAAAAAAUGCAUUUAUAUGUUAUUUUACUUUAAUAAUUAAAAGAAUUCAUCUUUAUCUA